GCGUCCGUAGCUCAGUUGGAUAGAGCAACGGCCUUCUAAGCCGUGGGUCGCAGGUUCGAAUCCUGCCGGACGCGCCA
rnacentral:tRNA from 1 species